rnacentral:lncRNA from 1 species
CGCUACCAUCAGCCUCCUGCAUUGCCUCGGAGCACGUAGGGAAACCGAGGCCGGAGUGAUGAGCCCUGGUGUCAGUUCCCAUUGAACAUCAAACCCCUCGGAGCUGGAGGGGGACGUGGGAAGCCUGGCCUUCCCCACCCCGCUGCUCCCUGGUCCCCCCCUGCCUUCUCCGGGCCCGGUUUGUCCUUCCUCUGCCCGGGGGGCUGGCGGUGGCUGAGCACAACGUGGUGCACCCAGUCGAUGUAGUUGGAGAUCCUGGUGUAAAUGUCGGGGUACCGGCGGUCCCCACAUCUCUCCCCGGAGAACGAGACGACGCCGUAAACCUUCCCCUUGAAGACCAGGGGUCCCCCAGAGUCACCCGCACAGACGCCCUGCAGCGUGGCAUUGCGGCUGGCCCCGCACAGCAUGUUGCCCGAGACACGGCCCUUCCAUAGGGUCCGACACAGACUCCUCUUG